rnacentral:rRNA from 1 species
AUUGAACGCUGGCGGCAGGCCUAACACAUGCAAGUCGAGCGGAUGGAGGGAGCUUGCUCCUGGAGUCAGCGGCGGACGGGGGAGUAAUGCCUAGGAAUCUGCCGGGCAGGGGGGGAUAACGUCCUGAGACGGGCGCUAAUACCGCAUACGACCUGAGGGAGAAAGUGGGGGAGCUUCGGACCGCACGCUAUCAGAUGAGCCUAGGUCGGGUUAGCUAGUUGGUGGGGUAAGGGCCUACCAAGGCGACGAUCCGCAACUGGUCUGAGAGGAUGAUAAGUCACACUGGAACUGAGACACGGUCCAGACUCCUACGGGAGGCAGCAGUGGGCAAUAUUGGACAAUGGGCGAAAGCAUGAUCCAGCCAUGCCGAGUGUGUGAAGAAGGUCUUCGGAUUGUAAAGCACUUUUAGUUGGGAGGAAGGGCAGUAAGUUAAUACCUUGCUGUUUUGACGUUACCAACAGAAUAAGCACCGGCUAACUUCGUG